rnacentral:lncRNA from 1 species
UCUGCCACAUUUCUGCAUUGCUUAAUAUUUGACAUAGCUUUAAACCAAAUGCUUGUAUUGUACAUAUACGUUGGAAGUUCCUUGUCAAUAGCUAGCGCCUAGUGGUACACAUUCAAAAAUCGAAGGCGGAUUAUUCAGUCACACCUUAAUUAAAAAUGUACUACAAUUUCAUUGUACUUGUGGUAUGCGAUUUCUUAAAGAAAUGGGCAGCCGAACCAAACUGUAGACUAACAAAAAGGCAUGCCAAUAGCAACACGUGUGCUUUCGUCAUGCAAAUUCCAAUCUUUUUUAAUUACUUAAAAAUUUAUUUUCUUCUGUUCGUCAUCGAAUGUUACGUUUCAACCUUUUUCCAUUUUAUUCAACUUAGUUUACUAAAAUUUCUCU